rnacentral:rRNA from 1 species
CACUAUCGUUAACUGAAUACAUAGGUUAACGAGGCGAACCGGGGGAACUGAAACAUCUAAGUACCCCGAGGAAAAGAAAUCAACCGAGAUUCCCCCAGUAGCGGCGAGCGAACGGGGAGCAGCCCAGAGUCUGAAUCAGCUUGUGUGUUAGUGGAACGGUCUGGAAAGUCCGACGGUACAGGGUGAUAGUCCCGUACACCAAAAUGCACAGGCUGUGAACUCGAAGAGUAGGGCGGGACACGUGGUAUCCUGUCUGAAUAUGGGGGGACCAUCCUCCAAGGCUAAAUACUCCUGACUGACCGAUAGUGAACCAGUACCGUGAGGGAAAGGCGAAAAGAACCCCGGCGAGGGGAGUGAAAAAGAACCUGAAACCGUGUACGUACAAGCAGUGGGAGCACCUUCGGGUGUGACUGCGUACCUUUUGUAUAAUGGGUCAGCGACUUAUAUUCUGUAGCAAGGUUAACCGUAUAGGGGAGCCGCAGGGAAACCGAGUCUUAACUGGGCGUUAAGUUGCAGGGUAUAGACCCGAAACCCGGUGAUCUAGCCAUGGGCAGGUUGAAGGUUGGGUAACACUAACUGGAGGACCGAACCGACUAAUGUUGAAAAAUUAGCGGAUGACUUGUGGCUGGGGGUGAAAGGCCAAUCAAACCGGGAGAUAGCUGGUUCUCCCCGAAAGCUAUUUAGGUAGCGCCUCGUGAAUUCAUCUUCGGGGGUAGAGCACUGUUUCGGCUAGGGGGUCAUCCCGACUUACCAACCCGAUGCAAACUACGAAUACCGAAGAAUGUUAUCACGGGAGACACACGGCGGGUGCUAACGUCCGUCGUGAAGAGGGAAACAACCCAGACCGCCAGCUAAGGUCCCAAAGUCAUGGUUAAGUGGGAAACGAUGUGGGAAGGCACAGACAGCCAGGAUGUUGGCUUAGAAGCAGCCAUCAUUUAAAGAAAGCGUAAUAGCUCACUGGUCGAGUCGGCCUGCGCGGAAGAUGUAACGGGGCUAAACCAUGCACCGAAGCUGCGGCAGCGACACUAUGUGUUGUUGGGUAGGGGAGCGUUCUGUAAGCCUGCGAAGGUGUGCUGUGAGGCAUGCUGGAGGUAUCAGAAGUGCGAAUGCUGACAUAAGUAACGAUAAAGCGGGUGAAAAGCCCGCUCGCCGGAAGACCAAGGGUUCCUGUCCAACGUUAAUCGGGGCAGGGUGAGUCGACCCCUAAGGCGAGGCCGAAAGGCGUAGUCGAUGGGAAACAGGUUAAUAUUCCUGUACUUGGUGUUACUGCGAAGGGGGGACGGAGAAGGCUAUGUUAGCCGGGCGACGGUUGUCCCGGUUUAAGCAUGUAGGCUGGUUAUCCAGGCAAAUCCGGAUAAUCAAGGCUGAGGUGUGAUGACGAGGCACUACGGUGCUGAAGUAACAAAUGCCCUGCUUCCAGGAAAAGCCUCUAAGCAUCAGGUAACAUCAAAUCGUACCCCAAACCGACACAGGUGGUCAGGUAGAGAAUACCAAGGCGCUUGAGAGAACUCGGGUGAAGGAACUAGGCAAAAUGGUGCCGUAACUUCGGGAGAAGGCACGCUGGUGUGUAGGUGAAGCCCCUGCGGGUGGAGCUGAGACCAGUCGAAGAUACCAGCUGGCUGCAACUGUUUAUUAAAAACACAGCACUGUGCAAACACGAAAGUGGACGUAUACGGUGUGACGCCUGCCCGGUGCCGGAAGGUUAAUUGAUGGGGUUAUCCGUAAGGAGAAGCUCUUGAUCGAAGCCCCGGUAAACGGCGGCCGUAACUAUAACGGUCCUAAGGUAGCGAAAUUCCUUGUCGGGUAAGUUCCGACCUGCACGAAUGGCGUAAUGAUGGCCAGGCUGUCUCCACCCGAGACUCAGUGAAAUUGAACUCGCUGUGAAGAUGCAGUGUACCCGCGGCAAGACGGAAAGACCCCGUGAACCUUUACUAUAGCUUGACACUGAACAUUGAGCCUUGAUGUGUAGGAUAGGUGGGAGGCUUUGAAGCGUGGACGCCAGUCUGCGUGGAGCCAACCUUGAAAUACCACCCUUUAAUGUUUGAUGUUCUAACGUUGGCCCCUGACCGGGGUUGCGGACAGUGUCUGGUGGGUAGUUUGACUGGGGCGGUCUCCUCCCAAAGCGUAACGGAGGAGCACGAAGGUUAGCUAAUCCUGGUCGGACAUCAGGAGGUUAGUGCAAUGGCAUAAGCUAGCUUGACUGCGAGCGUGACGGCGCGAGCAGGUGCGAAAGCAGGUCAUAGUGAUCCGGUGGUUCUGAAUGGAAGGGCCAUCGCUCAACGGAUAAAAGGUACUCCGGGGAUAACAGGCUGAUACCGCCCAAGAGUUCAUAUCGACGGCGGUGUUUGGCACCUCGAUGUCGGCUCAUCACAUCCUGGGGCUGAAGUAGGUCCCAAGGGUAUGGCUGUUCGCCAUUUAAAGUGGUACGCGAGCUGGGUUUAGAACGUCGUGAGACAGUUCGGUCCCUAUCUGCCGUGGGCGCUGGAGAAUUGAGGGGGGCUGCUCCUAGUACGAGAGGACCGGAGUGGACGCAUCACUGGUGUUCGGGUUGUCAUGCCAAUGGCACUGCCCGGUAGCUAAAUGCGGAAGAGAUAAGUGCUGAAAGCAUCUAAGCACGAAACUUGCCCCGAGAUGAGUUCUCCCUGAGACUUUAAGUCUCCUGAAGGAACGUUGAAGACGACGACGUUGAUAGGCCGGGUGUGUAAGCGCAGCGAUGCGUUGAGCUAACCGGUACUAAUGAACCGUGAGGCUUAACCUU